UCUGGAGCGGGAUAGAAUCACGGAUGAGCACGAGGUGGAUUCAUGAUGGAGACGGAGGAUGACCAGAGAUCUACAGGACUCUCUGAAAAUAAAGAUGUUGAUGCUGGCAGUGACCCUGAGCAGGAGGAGGAGGUAGGUUAUGCCAUCUUUUUUUGAAGUCUUACAGG